UACGUAGGUGGCAAGCGUUACUCGGAAUUACUAGGCGUAAAGCGCAGGUAGGUGGUUGGGUAAGUCCGUAAUGAAAUCUCCCGGCUUAACUGGGAGGGGUUUGGGGAUACUGCCUGACUCGAGUGUGGGAGAGGUGACUGGAAUUCCCGGUGUAGCGGUGAAAUGCGUAGAGAUCGGGAGGAACACCUAUGGCGAAAGCAGGUCACUGGCCCAAUACUGACGCUGAGCUGCGAAAGCUAGGGGAGCAAACAGG
rnacentral:rRNA from 1 species